rnacentral:rRNA from 1 species
UCUUCAAGUGAAGAGUUUGAUCCUGGCUCAGAUUGAACGCUGGCGGCGUGCUUAACACAUGCAAGUCGAGC